rnacentral:rRNA from 1 species
CAGUAGCGCGGGAAAACAGAGGAUGCAAGCGUUAUCCGGAAUGAUUGGGCGUAAAGGGUCCUGAGGUGGCCUGUUUAGUCUACUGUGAAAGCUCAGGGCUUAACCCUGACAAUGCGGUGGAAACUGGCAGGCUAGAAUACGGUAGGGGCAAGGGGAAUUCCCAGUGUAGCGGUGAAAUGCAUAGAUAUUGGGAGGAACACCAAAGGCGAAGGCACCUUGCUGGGCCGCUAUUGACACUGACAGACGAAAGCCAGGGGAGUAACCCGGAUUAGAUACCCCCGUAGUCCCUGUCUCUUAUACA